rfam:Ovis aries breed Texel chromosome 1, whole genome shotgun sequence.
UGGCUUAGAUGAUAAAGAAUCUGCCUGCAAGGCAGGAGACCCAGGUUUGAUUCCUGG